UACGUAGGUGGCAAGCGUUAUCCGGAAUUAUUGGGCGUAAAGAGCGCGCAGGUGGUUGAUUAAGUCUGAUGUGAAAGCCCACGGCUUAACCGUGGAGGGUCAUUGGAAACUGGUCGACUUGAGUGCAGAAGAGGGAAGUGGAAUUCCAUGUGUAGCGGUGAAAUGCGUAGAGAUAUGGAGGAACACCAGUGGCGAAGGCGGCUUCCUGGUCUGUAACUGACACUGAGGCGCGAAAGCGUGGGGAGCAAGCAGGAUUAGA
rnacentral:rRNA from 1 species